rnacentral:rRNA from 1 species
GAUGAACGCUGGCGGCGUGCCUAAUACAUGCAAGUCGAGCGAACAGACGAGGAGCUUGCUCCUCUGACGUUAGCGGCGGACGGGUGAGUAACACGUGGAUAACCUACCUAUAAGACUGGGAUAACUUCGGGAAACCGGAGCUAAUACCGGAUAAUAUAUUGAACCGCAUGGUUCAAUAGUGAAAGACGGUUUUGCUGUCACUUAUAGAUGGAUCCGCGCCGCAUUAGCUAGUUGGUAAGGUAACGGCUUACCAAGGCAACGAUGCGUAGCCGACCUGAGAGGGUGAUCGGCCACACUGGAACUGGGACACGGACCAGACUCCUACGGGAGGCAGCAGUAGGGAAUCUUCCGCAAUGGUCGAAAGCCUUACGGAGCAACGCCGCGUGAGUGAUGAAGGUCUUCGGAUCGUAAAACUCUGUUAUUAGUGAAGAACAAAUUUGUAAGUAACUAUGCACGUCUUGACGGUACCUAAUCAGAAAGCCACGGCUAACUACGUG